rnacentral:rRNA from 1 species
UACAGAGGGGGCAAGCGUUGUUCGGAAUUACUGGGCGUAAAGGGCGCGUAGGCGGCCUGCUAAGUCGAACGUGAAAUCCCUGGGCUCAACCCAGGAACUGCGUCCGAUACUGGUUGGCUUGAAUCCGGGAGAGGGAUGUGGAAUUCCAGGUGUAGCGGUGAAAUGCGUAGAUAUUGGGAAGAACACCGGUGGCGAAGGCGGCUCUCUGGACCGAUACUGACGCUGAGGCGCGAAAGCGUGGGGAGCAAACAGG